GACCAGGUGCAGCCGACCUGCAACCUGUCGAAAUUACCGUUCAACUUUUCCACGAACGUGCAAGGCCGGGGAUCAAGGUUGUAACGAGUAAGGCCACCCUCUUCCUUGAUAUUGUCUCCAGACAAACAGGAGAAAGAACGUAACGCGCCAAUUACAUGUACAUAAAUAUGUACCUACCGUUUGGUGAAGCGGUUGAUGGCUUUUCCGCGUUACACCUCUUAAGAGUCGAACUACGUUGAACGUGGCAUUGAAGUUUCUUCGUACAGAAAUAGCUAGAUAAAUGAGCCUAUCAGAAGGACUUUGCGUACUUGUUUGAAAGAUACGUCACCGUAAUGGAGCACGUUCUAUCGAGACGAAGAAAUUCAUUUUAAUGGUGCGAUAGGUAGGAAGAUAAUCGCACGGUGUAUCCGCGGACUUACGCAAGAAGGGUGAAGAAAGCGUUCAUCGGGCAGAAUAUCUUGAAGAGGGAAUUACACAACGUUGUACAAAUGAUUCCUCGAUUGUCGUUGCGUUGGUCGAAUAUUUCAUUUCAUACAUAGGUAUGUAUGUAAGUACAUAUGUAUAUAUUUGAUCGUGUAGUUAUAUAAAGGUGCAAUUAGCGGAAUGGCUCGCGCGUUAACGAGGAAGCGAAUGGCACGGCGUAAUGAAAAAUCUUGGACGCGUUUAACGCGUUUCCGCCACGCUUCCGUCACGCCGCGCCAGCCCUAUACACGUGACGAAAGCUUUGUUCCUUUCGCGAUGUUCUCUGAAAGCGUCGUUUUAAAAUCAAGGUUGAAAAUAAGUCGAACUGUUGGUUCUUUCGUUGAUUCGGCACGAUGCCUACUGCGCCAUUGCAACCCCUCGCAGACUUUUCCAGCCGCGCUCUCAUUUCAGACGUUUUUCUUCGUAUUUUUCACAAAUAACACUCGAUAUUGCCACGUAAAUUCCGCGAAUAAAAAUGACACGUGCUAUUUGUAAACGAAAAUUUUCAUCAGUUAACGUUUCUCAAAGUUGAAAACUUGACGGACGAUGGUACUUACUUCUCUAUGUAUUUCUAUGUAUUUCAGUAGUUUAUUUUUAUUUGAAGGAAUCGCGUCAAGGCAGAAAAUGUAAUUACGAAGGAGACGUUUAAAUAGAAAUUGCGUACGCGCACGUGUAUACAUUGAUCGCGAUAAUAAACAGUCGCAGCAGCGUCUGGAAGAGCUGGCGAAAUUGCCGGGUCGUUUCAGACAAAAGAAAAUUCCGUCUGCGUUUUCAGUUUUGGCCGACAUCGCGAGAUCGAAGAGAGUAGGUAUACGUUUCACCGCGUUAAACUACAUUUCUGAUUAUUUACUUGGAAAUAGAAAUUUCAGUUCUUUGUAAUUGUAAACAAGGUACUUGAUGGAUGGCAGAAAGAGUCGAACUGUCCUUAGUUACACGACAUCGAAACGUUAGAAGUUGAGGCUCAAAUCAGAGCAUUUUCUAAUUCUAGUUUCGACCUAGAUGCCUUCCUUCAACCUAUUAACAAGCUCAUUGCGUUCACUGUCGUUCGAUGAUGGGGAUAAUGAAAUCGUUAGAUAAUUAUCAAUUUUCUUUUUUAUUUACCAUUAUCAAUUUCAAUGAUUUUUACUCAAAUAGGUAUAUAGGCUUAUUCGGCUUAAAUAUAAACAUAAAACGAAACUCAUGAAUCCUUUGGAUAAUUAACGAAACGAACGUUGGCUGUUUUCCUCUCGGACUUGGACUCGGACUCGGUCUCGGUCUCGAACUCGAAGGACUCUGUUGCUCUCCAUUCAUUGUAGAGCCUAGUGCCCAACAGGGAUAAAAUGUUUAUACGAUUCUUCGGCAUGUUUGGCACGUGGCCAGAGGAUACUGCGUGUGCAUUUCACUGACGAGAAUAGAUUCACGGGCCAAAAUCCCCCAUGACUUCUCAGUCGUCGUGUUCGUAUUGAUUCUCUCAUGGACGACGGAUAAAAGGUUCUUCAUCGAGAUCGAUGUACGCGGUGUUGCACAUGCCUAAGUUACUUACAUAUGUAAGUAUGUACUCUCUUCUUAGAAAACAAGGAAAAUGUCCUUCAUCUCUUCCCCAGUCGUCAACUUGUCUACCGGAUUCGAGAAAUGGUAACGUUUCCAAAAACGACGCGCAAUUUUAUUAAUUCUGAAUUAACGCCAACUAUGAUCUGGCAACGCGCGACAGAGGGAAACAUCCUGUGCUCCACGAAUAAUCAUUUCCGUACUCGGAAAACUUGAGAAAAAUCAUUGGAUCGUUCGGCUGGUAACGCGAUAGAAAAGAUAUGAGAAAACAUAGCUCGAUUCGCUGUAAACGAAACACGAGAUACGACAGAAUUGACCACCAGAAACUUCUUUUUUCUAGAUGGUUGUUCGAACAAGCUUCGUAAACGCGUUCGGCCCUAUAAAAUUUUUGGCUCUGACGUAGGUUCUUUGUGCGUUGUGUCGGUUAACUGCGCCUCCGUUUUUCGAAGAUUUUCAUAUUUACUGAGAAACUUGGACGUUCCAAUGCAGCGUCAACGAAAACGUUAAACACCGCCAACUUCUCUCUUUCUCUCUUUCACACACUCUAACGAGAAACAAUUCUCAUAUAUCAAUCUAUUGUAUUCAUUAUCUUAUUUGUUGAUUUCUUCUGUAUAUUCAUUUUACAUUUUCUUAACAAUGAAUCGCAAUUUACACUUUGAUACUUGAAAUGUUUUCAUUCUGUUGGAUGGAAUUCUAUCGUACCGUGUAUUAUCUUACACGCUUGACGAUAGAUCAUUGAUACGCAUUUAUAUUUGAUAAAAUCAGUCGUAAUUCGUGUCAGUUUCGUUGCAGCUAAUUUCGAAUCACUAAUCGUAAGACGUGAUUUGGUAAAAAAAAAAAAAAAAAAAAAAAAAAAA